AUUGAACGCUGGCGGCAGGCCUAACACAUGCAAGUCGAACGAGUGGCGGACGGGUGAGUAAUGUCUGGGAAACUGCCCGAUGGAGGGGGAUCACUGCUGGAAAUGGUAGCUCAUACCGCAUACCAUCGGAUGUGCCCCGACGGGAUUAGCUUGUAGGUGGGGUAACGGCUCACCUAGUCGACGAUCCCUAGCUGGUCUGAGAGGAUGACCAGCCACACUGGAACUGAGACACGGUCCAGACUCCUACGGGAGGCAGCAGUGGGGAAUAUUGCACAAUGGGCGCAAGCCUGAUGCAGCCAUGCAGCGUGUAUGAAGAAGGCCUUCGGGUUGUAAAGUACUUUCAGCGGGGAGGCGUUACCCGCAGAAGAAGCACCGGCUAACUCCGUGCCAGCCGCCGCGGUAAUUC
rnacentral:rRNA from 1 species